rfam:Equus caballus chromosome 4, whole genome shotgun sequence.
UUUUUAGUGUAAGUAUGUCCCAUGCAAUAUUUGGGACAUACUUAUACUAAUU